GUUUCACCAUGUUAGCCAGGAUAGUCUUGAUCUCCUGACCUCAUGAUCCACCCAUCUCGGCCUCCCAAAGUGCUGGGAUUACAGGCUUGAGCCACCAUGCCCGGCCGAAUAACUAAAUUUUCUUAUGAAAAUUCAAAUGAACUCUCAUGAGAUCAUUAACCAUGGCCAUUUUAAUUUUUUUUUGUCACCCACCAGGUGGUUAUCAUUUACUCUGAUGCUUUCCUGAAAGCACUUGCAAAUCGCUAUGACACAAAAUUUCAAGAGAUUCAUAAAAAAGACUCAAGCAUAGGUGUCUGAUAACUUUUAAUUCACACUGUUGAACCCAUUAAACUGGAGUUGUUCUUAGCCUUACAGCCCUGCGAAUGGGAGCUGGAUGACUUGAUAGAGACUUCAGAGAAAUUGCUACAACAGGUUAUACCUGGACAACCUUGGUGCCUGAGGCUGUGUUGGCCACACAGAAAGUUCACCAGAAACCUGAUGAUACCACCAGAGACAUCCAAACUGCAAACCAGGGAAACCCAUCGGAUUGAGACUGCCACACCAGAAGAAGAAAAAACAAAUGCUAUUUCUAGGAGUCUUCAGUGCUUGUCAGCAGUCACAGACUCAUCACGUGAUCUCAGGAGGCUGGAGCAACAAAAACUGCUUCAAUUGAAAUUGUCAAAAAAAGAAAAAACCAGCAGGGCACGGUGGCUCACGCCUCUAAUCCCAGCACUUUGGGAGGCCGAGGCGGGCGGAUCACAAGGUCAGGAGAUCGAGACUACGGUGAAACCCCGGCUCUACUAAAAAUACAAAAAAUUAGCCGGGCGUGGUGGCGGGUGCCUGUAGUCGCAGCUACUCAGGAGGCUGAGACAGGAGAAUGGCGUGAACCCGGGAGGCGGAGCUUGCAGUGAGCUGAGAUCGCGCCACUGCACUCCAGCCUGGGCGACAGAGUGAGACUCCAUCUCAAAAAAAAAAAAAAAAAAACCAGAAAAAAAAAAAAGAAAAAACCUACUGAAACUCUGCUUCAUGAUCUUCAGACAGCAUGGAGACCAAGUCAUGUGGAAACUGAGUGUAGCGCUAAGCAGUAGGUCACAUUCUGAGUCCGACUGAGAGAAUGACCCAAAUUGGGCAAUUGUUAAAAAGAAACAGGAAAAUAGAUGGCCAGGUGUGGUGGCUCACGCCUGUAAUCCCAGCACUUCUGGAGGCCGAGGCGGGUGGAUCACUUGGCCAACAUGGUGAAACCCCUUCUCUACAAAAGGUACAAAAGAAUUAGCCUUGUGUGGUGGUGUGAGCCUGUAAUCCCACAUACGCAGGAGGCUGAGGCAUGGGAAUCACUUGAACCCUGGAGGCAGAAGUUGCAGUGAGCCGAGAUCACGCCAUUGCACUCCAGCCUGGAGUAUGAUACCCUGUUGAAAGAAAGAAGAAAGAAAGGAAGAGAGAAAGAGAGAGAGAGAAGGAAGGAAGGAAGGAAGGAAAGAAGGAAGGGAGGGAGGGAAAGAGGCCCUGAGCCGACUAGGUAUGGCCAUGUAUCUGAAACUGAAUUGAUCCUGAUUUCCCCUCAAAUGCUGGCUCUACCCACAAAUAAAAAUUAAGCUUUUCUUCCUUGCCA
rnacentral:lncRNA from 1 species